rnacentral:rRNA from 1 species
AGGUCCUCUGGAUUGUAAACUUCUUUUAUAUGGGACAAAAAAAGGGUUUUCUAACUCGUCUGACGGUACCAUAUGAAUAAGCACCGGCUAACUCCGUGCCAGCAGCCGCGGUAAUACGGAGGGUGCAAGCGUUAUCCGGAUUCACUGGGUUUAAAGGGUGCGUAGGUGGGUUGGUAAGUCAGUGGUGAAAUCCCCGAGCUUAACUUGGGAACUGCCAUUGAUACUAUCAGUCUUGAAUACCGUGGAGGUCAGCGGAAUAUGUCAUGUAGCGGUGAAAUGCUUAGAUAUGACAUAGAACACCAAUUGCGAAGGCAGCUGGCUACACGAAUAUUGACACUGAGGCACGAAAGCGUGGGGAUCAAACAGGAUUAGAUACCCUGGUAGUCCACGCCCUAAACUAUGGAUACUCGACAUACGCGAUACACUGUGUGUGUCUGAGCGAAAGCAUUAAGUAUCCCACCUGGGAAGUACGAUCGCAAGAUUUGAAACUCAAGAAAUUUGACGGG